rnacentral:rRNA from 1 species
CCUACGGGAGGCAGCAGUGGGGAAUAUUGGACAAUGGGGGCAACCCUGAUCCAGCCAUGCCGCGUGAGUGAUGAAGGCCUUCGGGUUGUAAAGCUCUUUUGGCGGGGACGAUGAUGACGGUACCCGCAGAAUAAGCCCCGGCUAACUUCGUGCCAGCAGCCGCGGUAAGACGAAGGGGGCUAGCGUUGUUCGGAAUUACUGGGCGUAAAGCGCGUGUAGGCGGUUUGCCAAGUCGGGUGUGAAAGCCUUGGGCUUAACCCAAGAAAUGCACUCGGUACUGGCAGACUAGAGGACCGGAGAGGAUAGUGGAAUUCCCAGUGUAGUGGUGAAAUACGUAGAGAUUGGGAAGAACACCAGUGGCGAAGGCGGCUAUCUGGACGGUUUCUGACGCUAAGACGCGAAAGCGUGGGGAGCAAACAGGAUUAGAUACCCUGGUAGUCCACGCCGUAAACGAUGGGUGCUAGACGUUGGCGGGCCUGCUCGUCAGUGUCGCAGCUACGACGUUAACGCACCCGCCGUCGGGUAGGUACGGCCGCGAGGUUAGAACGUACAAAGGAAAGUUAGACGGCGUGAGACGUGCCGAACGGACGACGACGAGGGGAGAGG